GUGGGGAAUAUUGGACAAUGGGCGAAAGCCUGAUCCAGCCAUGCCGCGUGUGUGAAGAAGGUCUUCGGAUUGUAAAGCACUUUAAGUUGGGAGGAAGGGCAGUAAGUUAAUACCUUGCUGUUUUGACGUUACCGACAGAAUAAGCACCGGCUAACUUCGUGCCAGCAGCCGCGGUAAUACGAAGGGUGCAAGCGUUAAUCGGAAUUACUGGGCGUAAAGCGCGCGUAGGUGGUUUUGUAAGUUGGAGGUGAAAUCCCCGGGCUCAACCUGGGAACUGCCUCCAAAACUGCAUGACUAGAGAACGGUAGAGGGUAGUGGAAUUUCCUGUGUAGCGGUGAAAUGCGUAGAUAUAGGAAGGAACGCCAGUGGCGAAGGCGACUACCUGGACUGAUACUGACACUGAGGUGCGAAAGCGUGGGGAGCAAACAGGAUUAGAAACCCGGGUAGUCC
rnacentral:rRNA from 1 species